GCAAUCACUUGUNCUUUUAAAUGAGGACCCGUAUGAAUGGCGAAACGAGGGCUUAACUGUCUCCUUUUUCCAGUCAAUGAAAUUGAUCUGCCCGUGCAGAAGCGGGCAUAACCAUACAAGACGAGAAGACCCUUUGGAGCUUAAGACAAAAGGCCAACUAUGUUUAAGGUUUUAAUUAAAUUCACCCAAACAAGCAGCUAACUGGCCACUAAUCUUCGGUUGGGGCGACCACGGGGGAAAAUAAAGCCCCCGCGCGGAAAGGGAAAUACCCUUGAACUAAGAGGGACACCUCUAAGUCACAGAACAUCUGACCUAAAGAUCCGGCCGACAGGCCGAUCAACGGACCAAGUUACCCUAGGGAUAACAGCGCAAUCCCCUCC
rnacentral:rRNA from 1 species